rnacentral:lncRNA from 1 species
GUCUGAGACCCCUGAAGGGGACACAAGAGGAGGAAGGAUAUGGAUCAGUGUUUUCUUUUUUGAAGCUACUGUUACCACUCCUGGAAAAGUUCUUCAGGAAUAAGUGACAGUAAGAAUGACAAGGGAUUAGGACUGGCUUCCUCUUAUAAAUAAUAAAAUCCAAAGAGAAGUGACUUGAGUCUCCAGGUUUAAAGGAGAGCAACUAGAAGUCGUCCAAACACCUGCAUCUCAUAAGGAGAAGAAAAGUCCACCUGGAUCUUGUUUCUGGACUGAGAUGGAUGGAGAGGCCACAGUGAAGCCUGGAGAACAAAAGGAAGUGGUGAGGAGAGGAAGAGAAGUGGACUACUCCAGGCUCAUUGCUGGCACUUUACCACAAUCUCACGUCACCAGCAGGAGGGCGGGAUGGAAAAUGCCCCUCUUCCUCAUACUGUGCCUGCUACAAGGUUCUUCUUUCGCCCUUCCACAAAAAAGACCCCAUCCGAGAUGGCUGUGGGAGGGCUCUCUCCCCUCCAGGACCCAUCUCCGGGCCAUGGGAACACUCAGGCCUUCCUCGCCCCUCUGCUGGCGGGAGGAGAGCUCCUUUGCAGCUCCAAAUUCAUUGAAGGGCUCAAGGCUGGUGUCAGGGGAGCCUGGAGGAGCUGUCACCAUCCAGUGCCAUUAUGCCCCCUCAUCUGUCAACAGGCACCAGAGGAAGUACUGGUGCCGUCUGGGGCCCCCAAGAUGGAUCUGCCAGACCAUUGUGUCCACCAACCAGUAUACUCACCAUCGCUAUCGUGACCGUGUGGCCCUCACAGACUUUCCACAGAGAGGCUUGUUUGUGGUGAGGCUGUCCCAACUGUCCCCGGA